GACGCAACACGCACUUCCGCUGUUUCCUCGCAGCUGAUUGGGCGAUCAGCCAAAACUUCCGUCCUGAACAUGGCGGGAACCAAAAUGAAGUAAACAAGUCUGCCCGUGUUGUGCGAAGAGAAAUGAAAUACGUUUUUAUUUACACAUGUAGUAGAUUAAAAAAUGAGCAGGUUACGUUCAGCGAUGGUUAAAGGAAAGAGAGCCGGACUGGAGAUGGUAGAAACAAUAAAACCAAACCGGAAGAGACCAAAGUCUGCUGUGAAAGAAGAGGAAACCACGAAUGCCUCCUCACCGUCCGCGUACCACACUUUCCAUGAUCCUGCUGAUGUUGUGCUGCUGCGCUCUCAGCUCCUCAGCUGGUACGACAGGGAGAAGAGAGAGCUGCCAUGGAGGACUCUGGCUGUGACAGAGUCAGACCUCAACAUCAGAACAUACGCAGUGUGGGUUUCAGAAAUCAUGCUGCAACAGACUCAAGUUGCCACAGUAAUAAACUAUUACAACAAAUGGAUGAAGCGGUGGCCCACGGUGCAGGAUCUUGCAGCUGCAACACUGGAGGAAGUGAACCAGAUGUGGGCGGGUCUCGGCUACUACUCCCGAGGAAAAAGACUGCAUGAAGGAGCUCAAAAGGUGGUGUCAGAGCUUAAGGGGCAGUUGCCUCGUACAGUCGACAGCCUGCUGAAACAGCUGCCUGGAGUGGGACGCUACACCGCUGCAGCUGUAGGCUCUAUUGCACUGGGUCAGGUUACUGGAGCCGUGGAUGGCAAUGUGAUUCGGGUGCUGUGUCGCCUGAGGGCCAUCGGAGCUGACAGCACCAGUCCUGCUGUCACAGAGGCACUUUGGAGUCUAGCCAACACACUGGUGGACCCUGAGAGACCCGGGGACUUUAACCAAGCCAUGAUGGAGCUGGGAGCACGAGUCUGCAUCCCUAAAGGACCACUGUGCAGCCAGUGUCCCGUACAGUCUCACUGCCGAUCUUUCCGCAAGGUUCAUGUCACACAAGAGAAAAACUCCAGGAAGCUCUUGGUGAAGUUGGACAGGAAGCCGUCCACCCUGCCUGAUAUAGAAGACUGUGUGAACAGCGGGACAUGUCUGUUGUGUCCCUCGGAGCCCUGGGACGAUGAGUUGGGUGUUCAGAACUUCCCCAGAAAGCCGGCGAAAAAGCCGCCUCGCGUGGAGCGAACUCUGACCUGUGUGGUGAUCCGACCUGGAGAGGACGGCGAGGACGAGUACCUGCUCACACAGAGGCCAAACAAGGGUUUGCUGGCAGGCUUGUGGGAGUUUCCGAGUCUUCUCCAGGAGGAGAAGAGCUCUGAGGUGAAACAGAAGAAGGCGCUGUGUGCCCAGAUCAGUGAGAUACUGGGAACCCGUCUGACAGAAAGUCUCUUCCAGUAUGUGGGAGAGGUGGUUCACAUCUUCUCCCACAUCCACCAGACAUACGUGGUUCACAGUGUGUGUUUGAAGGACGCUGACGCACAAACACAGACUGAAAAUGCACAGUGGCUCACCAGGUCCGCUCUGCAGGAAGCUGCCGUGUCCACAGGAGUGAAAAAGAUUGCGAAGCUUUGCGAGUCUGUGAACAGUCAACAAGAACAAACCUCCAAGGAUGGGAAAAGGCAGAAGCACACCGGCACAAAGAAAGACAAGAAACCACAGACCUCUAAAAAGCCCAAACUGAGUGCAGCUAACAGCAGACAGCUCUCCCUCAGCUGCUUCUUCAACACAGUUAAACAGGAAUCUUGAUGGUAUUGUGUUUGUGAACGUCCUACAUGAUGUCUUCUCAUGCACACGUGCCUUAUUGUCAAAGCAUCAACCCUACAUUAUAUUGCAACAUUAAGAGAGUUAUUGUGCGUCCCAUCACUGAGAAAUUAAAUACAAAAUGCCAUCAAGUUAUUAUAACAAAAUCAGUUUUUAAUAUAAUAUGUAUAUUGCUGCUAAGAUGUUCCUGUAGGAACUUUAGUGAAUCAUCAGUGUAGUUUGAUUUGUAAUGACCUCAUUCUAGAUAAUGUUUUUAACACUAUAUAAUGACCAAACUAUAUGUUUUACAAGCGGUAUGUAAGAUAAUUGUUUCGUAAAAUAAAAUGUUUAUUACCACAAUAAAAAUGUAUAAUGUUAGUG